AAGCGCUUAUGACCAGACUUGGGCGGGUGAAUCACCCAGCGUUCUCGCUGGUGCACUUUGCCCGUCCAGGCCAGCAUCAGUUCGCGCCGGGGGAUAAAGGCCUCGGGAAAGUAGCUCCCUCGGGAGUGUUAUAGACCGUGGCGCAAUACCCUGGGGCGGACUGAGGUACGCGCUCCGCAAGGAUGCUGGCGUAAUGGUCAUCAGUGA
rnacentral:rRNA from 1 species